UAGAUUUUUUUCAGGUUCCCU
rnacentral:piRNA from 1 species